CGCGUAGGUGGUUCGAUCAGUCGGAGGUGAAAUCCCUUGGCUCAACCAAGGAUCCGCGUCCGAUACUGUCGAACUUGAGUGCAGGAGAGGAGAGCGGAAUUCCCAGUGUAGCGGUGAAAUGCGUAGAUAUUGGGAGGAACACCGGUGGCGAAGGCGGCUCUCUGGACUGCCACUGACACUGAGGCGCGAAAGCUAGGGGAGCAAACGGGAUUAGAUACCCCGGUAGUCCUAGCCGUAAACGAUGGGCACUAGGUGUGGGAGGUAUCGACCCCUUCCGUGCCGCAGCUAACGCAUUAAGUGCCCCGCCUGGGGAGUACGGCCGCAAGGUUGAA
rnacentral:rRNA from 1 species